GACGAACGCUGGCGGCGUGCUUAACACAUGCAAGUCGAACGGAAAGGCCCUGCCUUUGUGGGGUGCUCGAGUGGCGAACGGGUGAGUAACACGUGAGUAACCUGCCCUUGACUUUGGGAUAACUUCAGGAAACUGGGGCUAAUACCGGAUAGGAGCUCCUGCUGCAUGGUGGGGGUUGGAAAGUUUCGGCGGUUGGGGAUGGACUCGCGGCUUAUCAGCUUGUUGGUGGGGUAGUGGCUUACCAAGGCUUUGACGGGUAGCCGGCCUGAGAGGGUGACCGGCCACAUUGGGACUGAGAUACGGCCCAGACUCCUACGGGAGGCAGCAGUGGGGAAUAUUGACAAUGGGCGGAAGCCUGAUGCAGCAACGCCGCGUGCGGGAUGACGGCCUUCGGGUUGUAAACCGCUUUCGCCUGUGACGAAGCGUGAGUGACGGUAAUGGGUAAAGAAGCACCGGCUAACUACGUG
rnacentral:rRNA from 1 species